UACAGAGGGGGCAAGCGUUGUUCGGAAUUACUGGGCGUAAAGGGCGCGUAGGCGGCCUUCUAAGUCGAACGUGAAAUCCCCGGGCUCAACCCGGGAACUGCGUCCGAUACUGGAAGGCUUGAAUCCGGGAGAGGGAUGCAGAAUUCCAGGUGUAGCGGUGAAAUGCGUAGAUAUCUGGAGGAAUACCGGUGGCGAAGGCGGCAUCCUGGACCGGCAUUGACGCUGAGGAGCGAAAAGCUAGGGGAGCAAACGGGG
rnacentral:rRNA from 1 species